UACGGAGGGUGCAAGCGUUAUCCGGAUUUACUGGGUUUAAAGGGUGCGCAGGCGGAUAUGUAAGUCAGUGGUGAAAUCUCUAGGCUUAACCUGGAAAUUGCCGUUGAUACUAUAUAUCUUGAAUGCUGUGGAGGUAAGCGGAAUAUGUCAUGUAGCGGUGAAAUGCUUAGAUAUGACAUAGAACACCUAUUGCGAAGGCAGCUUACUACGCAGAUAUUGACGCUCAUGCACGAAAGCGUGGGAUCAAACAGG
rnacentral:rRNA from 1 species